GUGGGGGAUAUUGCACAAUGGAGGAAACUCUGAUGCAGCGACGCCGCGUGAGUGAAGAAGUAUUUCGGUAUGUAAAGCUCUAUCAGCAGGGAAGAUAAUGACAGUACCUGACUAAGAAGCCCCGGCUAACUACGUGCCAGCAGCCGCGGUAAUACGUAGGGGGCAAGCGUUAUCCGGAUUUACUGGGUGUAAAGGGAGCGUAGACGGAAUGGCAAGUCUGAAGUGAAAUCCUGCGGCUUAACUGCAGAAUUGCUUUGGAAACUGUCAAUCUGGAGUGUUGGAGAGGUAAGCGGAAUUCCUGGUGUAGCGGUGAAAUGCGUAGAUAUCAGGAAGAACACCGGAGGCGAAGGCGGCUUACUGGACAAUAACUGACGUUGAGGCUCGAAAGCGUGGGAAGCAAACAGGAUUAGAUACCCGAGUAGUCC
rnacentral:rRNA from 1 species